UACGUAGGGUGCAAGCGUUAAUCGGAAUUACUGGGCGUAAAGCGUGCGCAGGCGGCUAUGCAAGACAGAUGUGAAAUCCCCGGGCUUAACCUGGGAACUGCAUUUGUGACUGCAUGGCUAGAAUCUGGCAGAGGGGGGUAGAAUUCCACGUGGUAGCAGUGAAAUGCGUAGAUAUGUGGAGGAACACCGAUGGCGAAGGCAGCCCCCUGGGUUAACACUGACGCUCAGGCACGAAAGCGUGGGGAGCAAACAGG
rnacentral:rRNA from 1 species